CGCGGGGUGGAGCAGCUUGGUAGCUCGUCGGGAUCAUAACCCGAAGGUCGUUGGUUCAAAUCCAGCCCCGCAACCA
rnacentral:tRNA from 1 species